rnacentral:rRNA from 1 species
GACGAACGCUGGCGGCGUGCUUAACACAUGCAAGUCGAACGGAAAGGCCUCUUUCGGGGGGUACUGGGGUGGGGAAGGGGGGGGUAACCCGGGGGUAACCUGCCCUUGAUUUGGGGUUACUUUCGGGAACUGGGGGGUAUUCCGGGAAGGGGGCUCUUGUGGAAGGGGGGGGGUGGGAAGGUUCGGCGGUUGGGGGUGGGCUCGCGGGUUAUCAGCUUGGUGGUGGGGUAGUGGCUUACCAAGGCUUUGGCGGGUAGCCGGCCUGAGAGGGUGACCGGCCACAUUGGGACUGAGAUACGGCCCAGACGCCUACGGGAGGCAGCAGUGGGGAAUAUUGCACAAUGGGUGGAAGCCUGAUGCAGCAACGCCGUGUGCGGGAUGACGGCCUUCGGGUUGUAAACCGCUUUCGCUCAUGACGAAGCUUUGUGUGACGGUAGUGGGUAAAGAAGCACCGGCUAACUACGUG